UUGAAGAGUUUGAUCAUGGCUCAGAUUGAACGCUGGCGGCAGGCCUAACACAUGCAAGUCGAGCGGUAGCACAGAGAGCUUGCUCUCGGGUGACGAGCGGCGGACGGGUGAGUAAUGUCUGGGAAACUGCCUGAUGGAGGGGGAUAACUACUGGAAACGGUAGCUAAUACCGCAUAAUGUCGCAAGACCAAAGUGGGGGACCUUCGGGCCUCAUGCCAUCAGAUGUGCCCAGAUGGGAUUAGCUAGUAGGUGGGGUAACGGCUCACCUAGGCGACGAUCCCUAGCUGGUCUGAGAGGAUGACCAGCCACACUGGAACUGAGACACGGUCCAGACUCCUACGGGAGGCAGCAGUGGGGAAUAUUGCACAAUGGGCGCAAGCCUGAUGCAGCCAUGCCGCGUGUAUGAAGAAGGCCUUCGGGUUGUAAAGUACUUUCAGCGGGGAGGAAGGCGAUAAGGUUAAUAACCUUGUCGAUUGACGUUACCCGCAGAAGAAGCACCGGCUAACUCCGUGCCAGCAGCCGCGGUAAUACGGAGGGUGCAAGCGUUAAUCGGAAUUACUGGGCGUAAAGCGCACGCAGGCGGUCUGUCAAGUCGGAUGUGAAAUCCCCGGGCUCAACCUGGGAACUGCAUUCGAAACUGGCAGGCUAGAGUCUUGUAGAGGGGGGUAGAAUUCCAGGUGUAGCGGUGAAAUGCGUAGAGAUCUGGAGGAAUACCGGUGGCGAAGGCGGCCCCCUGGACAAAGACUGACGCUCAGGUGCGAAAGCGUGGGGAGCAAACAGGAUUAGAUACCCUGGUAGUCCACGCCGUAAACGAUGUCGAUUUGGAGGUUGUGCCCUUGAGGCGUGGCUUCCGGAGCUAACGCGUUAAAUCGACCGCCUGGGGAGUACGGCCGCAAGGUUAAAACUCAAAUGAAUUGACGGGGGCCCGCACAAGCGGUGGAGCAUGUGGUUUAAUUCGAUGCAACGCGAAGAACCUUACCUGGUCUUGACAUCCACAGAACUUAGCAGAGAUGCUUUGGUGCCUUCGGGAACUGUGAGACAGGUGCUGCAUGGCUGUCGUCAGCUCGUGUUGUGAAAUGUUGGGUUAAGUCCCGCAACGAGCGCAACCCUUAUCCUUUGUUGCCAGCGGUCCGGCCGGGAACUCAAAGGAGACUGCCAGUGAUAAACUGGAGGAAGGUGGGGAUGACGUCAAGUCAUCAUGGCCCUUACGACCAGGGCUACACACGUGCUACAAUGGCAUAUACAAAGAGAAGCGACCUCGCGAGAGCAAGCGGACCUCAUAAAGUAUGUCGUAGUCCGGAUUGGAGUCUGCAACUCGACUCCAUGAAGUCGGAAUCGCUAGUAAUCGUAGAUCAGAAUGCUACGGUGAAUACGUUCCCGGGCCUUGUACACACCGCCCGUCACACCAUGGGAGUGGGUUGCAAAAGAAGUAGGUAGCUUAACCUUCGGGAGGGCGCUUACCACUUUGUGAUUCAUGACUGGGGUGAAGUCGUAACAAGGUAACCGUAGGGGAACCUGCGGUUGGAUCACCUCCUU
rnacentral:rRNA from 1 species